UACCAGCUCUCCGAGUGGUAGGGAUGAUUAUUGGGCCUAAAGCGUCCGUAGCCGGUUUGGUAAAUAUCUGGGUAAAUCGUGAGGCUUAACUUCACGAAUUUCGGAUAGACUGCCAGACUUGGGAUCGGGGGAGGUCAGAGGUACUCCAGGGGUAGCGGUGAAAUGUUGUAAUCCUUGGAGGACCACCGGUAGCGAAGGCGUCUGACUAGAACGAGUCCGACGGUGAGGGACGAAGCCCUGGGGCGCAAACCGAAUUAGAUACCCGGGUAGUCCAGGGUGUAAACGAUGUGGGCUUUGUAUUGGAGGUCCCACGUGGGCGUCCAGUGCAGAAGAGAAGUUGUUAAGCCCACCGCCUGGGAAGUACGGUCGCAAGGCUGAAACUUAAAGGAAUUGGCGGGGGAGCACAGCAACGGGAGGAGCGUGCGGUUU
rnacentral:rRNA from 1 species